AAACUUAUUGCUUAUUGCCUAUAUUGAGAAUAAGAACUAAAGACCUGUUUAAUUUGCAAAGAAGAUAGGGAAUACUGAUUCUGAGAGAUAUUUGAGUAUCAUUUAGAAAAUGAUAGGAUUCUGAAACAUUUAUUUCACAGUUAAUUGUUAUUGGAAAAAUUUUCAAAUUAGAUCAUGGAACAAUUACCAUCUAUGAAAAAUUUGGGAACAUAUGCCAUGUGAUUGUAUUUUGUUGGUAUCGGAUGGCUUAGCAUGUUUGAAUGAGAUUGUGAUGCUAUUUUCUUUUGUAUUUUACCUUGAUAUUUAAUAUCCUCAUUUGUUAUUUGCAGCACCAAAUUAUCUUUAGUUUUUCAUUUUCCAGCGUAUUGAAGAUCCAGAGAUACGAGAAAGACAUCUAGGAGAUCUUCAAGGUUUUUCUAUGCGUGAGGCAGCUAAACUUAAGGUCGAUGCUAAUAAAGCAUCUUUAUCAUCAAGGGCAGAUCAAGAGAUCCCAGGGGUUGGUGAAAGUUUUGAUCAACAUUUUCACCGUUGCACAUCCUCAUUGCAGAAAAUCGGAAGGAAGCAUAAAGGUUUAGAGAAUGUGCAUUUCGGGAUUCUUUCUUGAGAGAUAGAGUUAUCAAGCAAAUUCCAUUUCAGGACAAAGAUUGGCAGAGUUCACUCAUGGUGGAGUCUCAAAAGCAUUUCACAAGCGCGCUGCUCCAACAGCGGAAUUGCCAAGCAAGAUUCAGAAUGCAUCUAUAAGCAUAUUUGAAAUAGCUGAUGAGGAAGGGUGGACCAUCAAAGCCUGGGGUGAAGUUG
rnacentral:misc_RNA from 1 species